GACAGAGGUGCAACGUUGUUCGGAAUUACUGGCGUAAAGCGCACGUAGGCGGAUUGGUCAGUUAGGGUGAAUCCUGGAGCUCAACUCCAGAACUGCCUUAAUACUGCCAGUCUUGAGUUCGGGAGAGGUGAGUGGGAACUGCGAGUGUAGAGGUGAAAAUUUCGUAGAUAUUCGCAAAGAACACCAGUGGCGAAGGCGGCUCACUGGCCCGAUACUGAACGCUG
rnacentral:rRNA from 1 species